UUUCCGUAGGUGAACCUGCGGAAGGAUUAUUACCGAGUGAGGGCCCUCUGGGUCCAACCUCCCACCCGUGUUUAUUAUACCUUGUUGCUUCGGCGGGCCCGCCGUAUGGCCGCCGGGGGGCUUCUGCCCCCGGGCCCGCGCCCGCCGAAGACAUCUCGAACUCUGUCUGAAGAUUGUAGUCUGAGUAAAAAUAUAAAUUAUUUAAAACUUUCAACAACGGAUCUCUUGGUUCCG
rnacentral:misc_RNA from 1 species